AAACUAGCUAACCUUAGGUCUAUCUGUCGAUCUGAACCCAGCUAGCACAGUGGAUCUGGGCCACUUCCGGCUGAGAGUCGGGGCACUCGGCUGAGAGUCAGACUCGGCCUACGUCAUGUGGCCCGAGUCUGGGCCACCCUCGGCAGUAUUACCUACGGCUAGGAUGCGGGGAAUGAGCUCGGGCAGAUUCUGGUACAUGAGGCGUGACAUGCGGAACAUCAGGCUCACCCCAUGACAAGCAGUGCAUGAUCAAAGCUACCCUCAGCAAGGAGAUCUGCUUCAAGUGAUGUACUCUCUCUCUCACUCUGGGGGUACAGGCAGGGAUGACUGGGGCCUUCAACAAUUAAGACACAGGGGGAGGAGCAAUACGAGUCUGUCAGAGGUUGUCACACUGGAUGGGGAUGGUGAGAGAGGCUUUGGUGGUCCACACAAUGAAGAAGCAUCACUGUCCCUUCCAGUGAUGUGGAGCUGACCUUGGACCUGAUGCCAGUAAGGAUGUAAAAAAUGUGCUAUAUGAAUAAAGUUUGAUUUGAUUGAUGAAUUUACAGCUGUAGAAUAUUUAAUAAAUGAAUGUUCACGUCUAGUGUUUUUUUAUUUUAUUAAUUGAUCAUUUGGGAUAUUAUCACUUGAAAUAUCAAUCAUAUAGUGGGAAGGAUCAUAUAAAUCAAGACAGUGUGAAUGCAUCUACCACUCCGAAUAAAUAAAUACUUUGCCUCCGAAGAUUUGUCUCUGGUCAUGAAACUACAAUACUGGCUGGAUGUCUAAACAAAGUCAAUUCUGAAUGUCAAUAGGUUUUUAGAUUUAUUCUCCUCAAUGACAACAUUCUACAACUGAGUUAUCACUCAUCUAAGUCUGAUAUCCGGGGUAAUCUGGUUAAUGAUUAUAUAAUUAAGUGUAUUUUUCCUUGUAGAAUGUUGACAGCUGUAUAGAACAUUGUAUUGCUAAAAUGCUCAAACUUAAUAGCUAAACUCACAAACACAGGAUAAACUUUCCCUCAUGCUGGCCCUGACCAAACCAGAGUUCAUGGAUUGGACACAGCCUCUGAUCGCACUGGUGAACGGCAGCUGUCAGUGUUGGCUAGAGAUGACGUGAAGGAGCUUCCUGCAGGAAUUUGUAGUUUUGCUGAGGUCUUCUCUCCUACACUAAACGCAGACCUAAUAUGAAGUAGUUCUAAAAUCCCAGAUGCAAAAAUGAAUGGAGAAAAAACAAUUGGAACUGUUACCAGGUUUUACUGCUAGGUUUUAUGGGUAUUAUGAAGCAUCCAUUGUGCCAGACUAUAUGCCUACAAUAAUAGAACACUUUAACACCAACGUAAUUAGCCAGUUCACCCGUGAUACAAGUCAGUAUUUGACGUCCAUCCAUGUCUGAGGUCGUGAGAUGACGUGAAAACCAGCCACUAGGGGCAAAAAUGAGCAAUGUUACCUUCAAGUUGGUUUUGGUUUUGCUAGGAUGUUGAUAGGGAAUACGGUUGGGCAUCAGUAUCUGCCUUUGAUUCCAAAGGUUGCAAAUUCAAAUCCAGCAAUAGAAACUUAUUAUUAUAUUUUAAGCCUAUCCCAAACCUUAACCAUUCGGAGUUAAUGCCUAACCUUGAACAUUUUGAGUUAUUGCCUAAAAUUAAACAUUUAGAAAUUUUACAUUUGGAAAAAUGUAUAUUUUUGAUGUUUGAGAAACAUGGAUGAACGUCUAAUUCUGACGUGAGACUGUGAGAGCUGGUUGGACGUAAUAGUCUACUUAAAAGCCUUCUUACAUGGCUGAUGUUGAUAGAUCUCUUCUAGAAAAGUAGGCUAUCUGUUCAGUGGCAGCAGCACCAGUGAAGCUCUAGCUAGGCAAUUGGAUGGGUUUCAUAUUAACAGAUCAUUUCUGUCAUGAUCCCCCCUAUCCCCAGUGAAAGUUGCACCCCUGUUUUUGUUACAUCCCAGUAGGCAUACGAUGUGAUAAAGACAUUUUACUGGAUGAAAUCUGGUCGGGACGUCUUAUAACCAGAUUACAACCAUAUUAAGAUAUAUUAGUUAGUCUUUUUGACAUUGGUUGAUAUCUGAUAUUUGGUUGAUAUCAGUUUUUUGGUUGAAAUCUGAUUGAGCUACUGACCAGUUAUCUAAGUGCUAAUCAAUUAAAAGACGCCAAUCUAUAUAAACAUGUGCAUAGUGUUUGUUGGCAAUGCGCCCAUUGCAUGUAAGACAAUAAAAC
ensembl:lncRNA